rnacentral:lncRNA from 1 species
AGUACUGAGAUUAUGCUGCCCUCAUAAAAAGAAUUGAAAAGCAGUGUUUCUUCCUUCUAUAUUUUCAAAAAGAGUUUUUGUAGGUACCCUUGCUUCUAAUACCACAAAAAGCAGGAUAUAGAUGAAUUGUUACCUGCCUAGAUGCUGAGACCAGACUACCUCCGUUGUUGCAACAUGAAGUGAUUGCACUAUAAGGUUGUACAUGUCAUGCAACAUCUUUGUUGGAUGCCUACCCAUCUUGCCUCUAAAAACACCAUGGCUAUUAGAUAUCACCACAGAUAUCUGUGAGAAAGAGUUCCUCGGUUAUUAUUCUGUCUUUGUUAUCUAUAUAUUGGAUCUUCCUUAAGUGAGACUUCUGCAUGAUCUCCAAGCAAGGAGAGGCUAUCUAGCAUGGGGGAGUGGAGGUCUUACAUAGCACAGAGGGGUCAAGAUUUUCAAGCACAGAAGACCAGAUGUUUCUGUUUCAGGUCUCUGGGUCCCAUUUCUUCUUUAUGACGACUCUGUAUUUGGCAUAGGAGAAUUGCUGGGGCUGUGAAUUUAGCAUUAUUUGAAAUUUAAAUAAUUCCACAAUUAGACCUUGCAUCUGAUUUUCAGCAGCCUUCCCUCUGGCUAUGGCAAAGAGGGUAGGGUCUCUUUCAUGCUACAGCUACUACGUAAGUAUGGGAACCCAAUCUUCCACAAAUGAGAGUCUAUAGAUUUGAUACUAUACUACUAGGAAUGGGAUUCUUGUUGCUCUAUGCCCAGGGAGUUAUUCAAUUUCUGAAUCCCAUCCUGAAGAUUUGCUCCAUAGAGCAAUGUAUGAUAUCAAUUAUUUUAGUUUGAAUUAUCCCAGAAGCAGAUUUUGAAAUCAGGAUUUAAAUGCAUAUGGUUUAUUUGUGGGAUGAAGGCAACCCUAGUAGGAAGGCGAGGAAGAUAACCAACUACCACUGUGGACAACUGGAGCUUAACCCCACUAGAUAAACUCAGAGAGCCAGUGUGAAGCACUCCUCAGUUGUCCCAGCAGAGGAGACGAUGGAGCCAGAGUACAUUUAUACCAAUUCCCAUCCGUCAUUGUUGAAGGGUGCUCUAUGGGUAUUUUUCAGCACUUCUGGUCCAGUUGCACAACAAAAUGUGCUUUAACAGCAAGUGAAAGCUCCUGGGCAAAGACCUUAGGCAUUGAGAGCUGUGUGCAUUGAAGUGCUAAAAGCAAGGGCUAUGGGUGGGAUGCUGACAGCCUCAGCCAAACAAAAUCGUAUUAUAAAUGUAUACGUGAGAAAUAAAACUAUAAAGAGAAUAAAGAAAUGAUUAUCACAAAAUGGACGUUUUAAAUGUUUUAAAAUAGAUAUGAAUUAUUUAACUUGCUCUAAUUAUGGUUUGGAUUUUCACAAGUAGUUUCUAUCUGGCAUCUCAAA